ACGAAGGGGGCUAGCGUUGCUCGGAAUCACUGGGCGUAAAGCGCACGUAGGCGGGUCCUUAAGUCGGGGGUGAAAUCCCGGAGCUCAACUCCGGAACUGCCUUCGAUACUGGGGGCCUCGAGUCCGGGAGAGGUGAGUGGAACUGCGAGUGUAGAGGUGAAAUUCGUAGAUAUUCGCAAGAACACCAGUGGCGAAGGCGGUCUGCUGGGCAGUUUCUGACACUGAGGCGCGACAGCGUGGGGAGCAAACAGGA
rnacentral:rRNA from 1 species